rnacentral:lncRNA from 1 species
UCAAAGACUUCAUUUACAGAGCUCUAGCAUCAAAAGCUUCAUUUACAAGAGCUCUAGCUUCAAAAGCUUCAUUUACAAGAGCUCUAGCUUCAAAAGACUUCAUUUACAGAGCUCUAGCUUCAAAGCUUCACUUGCAAAGCUUCACCUACAAAGCUUCACCUACAAAGCUUCAGUGCAGGGUAUACAAAUACCGCCUCCGAACAACCGCCACUUCGGCCCAUACAUGGAUUCAAUUUGAAGUCUCCAGCCAACAGACUCUAUUGACCGAAGACUUGGGGGACUACAUUAUGUACCAUAUAUUGGGCCUCAACUGGGCCUCAUGAAAAAUACUUGGGGGACUCUAGCCCAUUAUCUAUGUAUUAAGGAGCGAACCCUUAUUCUAUAAAAGGGACUCCCUCACUUUCAUUGAAAGAUCACCCAUGAUUUAUGUAUUGAGGAGCGAGCCCUUAUUCUAUAAAAGGGACUCCCUCACCACCAUUAGAGAGCAUCGCCGCCUACUGAGCAACUGUCUCACUGCGAGCAUCAACUCUAGCCCAUCACUUAUGUAUUGAGGAGAGAG